UAGGGUGGCAUAUAGCAGUUGAACUGUCCGUCAGUAUGUCAGUCAGUCUGUCUGUCAGUCCGAAAAAAACUUUAACAUUGGCCAUAAUUUUUUCACUUUUAAGAUAGCAACUUGAUAUUUUGCAUGCAUGUGCAUCUCAUGGAGCUGCACAUUUUGAGUGGUGAAAGGUCAAGGUCAUCCUUCAAGGUCAAAUGUCAAAUUUAUGGUGUCUGUCCGUCCGAAAACUUUAACAUUGGCCAUAACUUUUUCAAUAUUGAAGAUAGCAACUUGAUAUUUGGCAUGCAUGUGUAUCUCAUGGAGCUGAACAUUUUGAGUGGUGAAAGGUGAAGGUGAAGGUCAUCCUUCAAGGUCAAAUGUCAAAUAUAUGGCGUCUGUCCGUCCGAAAACUUUAACAUUGGCCAUAACUUUUUUAAUAUUGAAGAUAGCAACUUGAUUUUGGCAUGCAUGUGUAUCUCAUGAAGCUGCACAUUUUGAGUGGUGGAAGUUCAAGGUCAAGGUCAUCCUUCAAGGUAAAAAAAAAUUCAAAGCUCAUAAAGCUGCACAUUUUGAGUGGUGGAAGUUCAAGGUCAAUGUCAUCCUUCAAGGUCAAAGUCAUCCUUUAAGGUCAAAGGUCAAAAAAAAAUUCAAAGCGGCGUUCUCAUGAAGCCGCACAUUUUGAGUGGUGGAAUUUCAAGGCCAAAUUUAUUCUUCAAGGUCAAGGUCAUCCUUCAAGGUCAAAGGUAAAAGAAAUUCAAGCGUCGUUAUCAAGAAGCUGCAAAUUUUGAGUGGUGGAAGUUCAAGGUCAAGGUCAUCCUUCAAUAUAAAAAUAAAUAAAUAAUCAAAGCUGCUUUCUCAUGAAGCUGCACAUUUUGAGUGGUGGAAGUUCAAGGUCAAGGUCAUCCUUCAAGCUCAAGGUUAUCCUUCAAGGUCAAAGUUUAAAAAAAAUCAAAGCGGCGUUCUCAUGAAGCUGCACUUUUUGAGUGGUGGAAGUUCAAGGUCAAGGUCAUUCUUCAAGGUCAA